rnacentral:rRNA from 1 species
GACGAACGCUGGCGGCGCGCCUAACACAUGCAAGUCGAACGAGAGAGAGGAAGCUUGCUUCCUCAAUCGAGUGGCGAACGGGUGAGUAACGCGUGAGGAACCUGCCUCAAAGAGGGGGACAACAGUUGGAAACGACUGCUAAUACCGCAUAAGCCCACGGCUCGGCAUCGAGCAGAGGGAAAAGGAGCAAUCCGCUUUGAGAUGGCCUCGCGUCCGAUUAGCUAGUUGGUGAGGUAAUGGCCCACCAAGGCGACGAUCGGUAGCCGGACUGAGAGGUUGAACGGCCACAUUGGGACUGAGACACGGCCCAGACUCCUACGGGAGGCAGCAGUGGGGAAUAUUGCACAAUGGGGGAAACCCUGAUGCAGCGACGCCGCGUGGAGGAAGAAGGUCUUCGGAUUGUAAACUCCUGUUGUUGAGGAAGAUAAUGACGGUACUCAACAAGGAAGUGACGGCUAACUACGUGCCAGCAGCCGCGGUAAAACGUAGGUCACAAGCGUUGUCCGGAAUUACUGGGUGUAAAGGGAGCGCAGGCGGGAAAACAAGUUGGAAGUGAAAUCUAUGGGCUCAACCCCAUAAACUGCUUUUCAAACUGUUUUUCUUGAGUAGUGCAAAGGGAGGGGGGAAUUCCCGGGUGUAGCGGGGGGAAGGCGUAGAUAUCGGGNGGNNCCCCCGUGGCGAAGGCGGCCUNCUGGGGCACCCACCGAACGGUGAGGCUUGAAAGUGUGGGUNGCCCUCAAAAGUCGCUNCCCUGGUAGUCCACACCCUAAAUGAUGAUUAAUAGGUGUUGGAGGAUUGACCCCCUCAGUGCCGCAGUUAACACAAUAAGUAAUCCACCUGGGGAGUACGACCGCAAGGUUGAAACUCAAAGGAAUUGACGGGGGCCCGCACAAGCAGUGGAGUAUGUGGUUUAAUUUGACGCAACGCGAAGAACCUUACCAAGUCUUGACAUCCCUUGACGAAUAUAGAAAUAUGUUUUCUCUUCGGAGCAAGGAGACAGGUGGUGCAUGGUUGUCGUCAGCUCGUGUCGUGAGAUGUUGGGUUAAGUCCCGCAACGAGCGCAACCCUUACUGUCAGUUACUACGCAAGAGGACUCUGGCAGGACUGCCGUUGACAAAACGGAGGAAGGUGGGGAUGACGUCAAAUCAUCAUGCCCCUUAUGACUUGGGCUACACACGUACUACAAUGGCGUUAAACAAAGAGAAGCAAGACCGCGAGGUGGAGCAAAACUCAGAAACAACGUCCCAGUUCGGACUGCAGGCUGCAACUCGCCUGCACGAAGUCGGAAUUGCUAGUAAUCGUGGAUCAGCAUGCCACGGUGAAUACGAUCCCGGGCCUUGUACU